CACAAGCCUAGGCCAGGCACGGUGGCUCAUGCCUGUAAUCACAGUACUUUGGGAGGCCGAGGUGAGCAGAUCACUUCAGCCCAGGAGUUUCAGACCAGCCUGACCAACAAAGUGAGACCUCGUUGCUACAAGAAAUAAAAAAUUGGGUGGCACAUGCCUGUGGUCCCAGCUACUCUGAAGGGUGAAGUGGGAGGACUGCUUGAGCCCAGGAGGUCAAGGAUGCAGUGAGCCAAGAUUAUGCCACUGCACUCCAGCCUGGGUGACAGAGGGAGAACAUAUCUCAAAAAAAAAAAAAAAAUGCACAAGGCUUUUGCUUCAGUGAUUCCAUUUCUAAGACUAUAUCCAAUGUACCCAAAUAUGCACGUCUGAGAUGUUCAUUGGAGUAUUGGUUGUUAAAGGAAACAGCUGGAGACAAUCUAAAUGGGGAGACAGUCAGUACAGCUGUGGUAUAUCCAUAGUAUGCAUGCUCUACAGUUGUUAAGAGUGGCAAUGGCCUAUUCAUCUGGACCUAGAUAGAUGUCAAAG
rnacentral:lncRNA from 1 species